GCAGUCGAGGGGUACAGGGUGCUUGCACCGCUGACGACCGGCGCACGGGUGCGUAACGCGUAUACAAUCUACCUUAUAGAGGGGAAUAGCCCAGAGAAAUUUGGAUUAAUGCCCCAUAGUAUUAUUGAAUAGCAUUAUUUAAUAAUUAAACAUUUAUGGCUAUAAGAUGAGUAUGCGUUCUAUUAGCUGGAUGGUAAGGUAACGGCUUACCAUGGCUACGAUAGAUAGGGGUCCUGAGAGGGAGAUCCCCCACACUGGUACUGAGACACGGACCAGACUCCUACGGGAGGCAGCAGUGAGGAAUAUUGGACAAUGGGCGGGAGCCUGAUCCAGCCAUGCCGCGUGCAGGAAGACGGCCCUAUGGGUUGUAAACUGCUUUUACAGAGGAAGAAACACCCCGACGUGUCGGGACUUGACAGUACUCUGCGAAUAAGGAUCGGCUAACUCCGUGCCAGCAGCCGCGGUAAUACGGAGGAUCCAAGCGUUAUCCGGAAUCAUUGGGUUUAAGGGUCCGUAGGCGGGACAAUCAGUCAGCGGUGAAAGUCUGUGGCUCAACCAUAGAAUUGCCAUUGAUACUGUUGUUCUUGAAUACUUAUGAAGUGGUUGGAAUAUGUAGUGUAGCGGUGAAAUGCAUAGAUAUUACAUAGAACACCGAUGGCGAAGGCAGAUCACUAAUAAUUUAUUGACGCUGAUGGACGAAAGCGUAGGUAGCGAACAGGAUUAGAUACCCUGGUAG
rnacentral:rRNA from 1 species